ACCUUUGCAUAGUGGCAGUAUCGUAGCCAAUGAGGUUUAUCCAAGGCACAAGUAUUGCUAAUGGAAAACAAUAUGUGGUACGCAGAAAACAUUUGUUGAAUGAAUGAAUGAACAAUAUCAUUUUUACCUGAAA
rfam:Heterocephalus glaber contig220318, whole genome shotgun sequence.